rnacentral:rRNA from 1 species
UACAGAGGUCUCAAGCGUUGUUCGGAUUCAUUGGGCGUAAAGGGUGCGUAGGCGGCGCGGUAAGUCGGGUGUGAAAUCUCGGAGCUUAACUCCGAAACUGCAUUAGAUACUGCCGUGCUUGAGGACUGGAGAGGAGACUGGAAUUUACGGUGUAGCGGUGAAAUGCGUAGAUAUCGUAAGGAAGACCAGUGGCGAAGGCGGGUCUCUGGACAGUUCCUGACGCUGAGGCACGAAGGUCAGGGGAGCAAACGGG